GGCUUAAUAUUUUAAGCCCGCCUUUGAGGGGUUUCCUUAACGCAUCUUCUCCUCCAGCCCCAAUAUUCUGGAGUACUCUAGACGCACAGCUGCUGGUAGUAAGUGCAGGGUUUCGCCAUUUCUACCAGGUGGUAAGAGGCAAGAGCUUGUUCUUACAAUCGUGAGCAUGAAUGGAGGGAUGCGGACUUGCGCAAAGUUGUUGAGGGCUUCCGAAGCAGCGCUAUCGAAAUCAGGGACUAGAGGGUUCCACUCAACUGGAGUGAAAAGAAUGGGUGGACACGGCCACGAUGAACCAGCCUACAUGCAUGCCAAACACAUGUAUAACCUGGACCAGAUGAAAAACCAGAAGUUGCAGGUGAGCCUUGGAGUGCUCGCCGCCUUCAGCAUUGGCGUGGGUGUUCCGAUUUGGGCUGUCAAUUUCCAACAAAAGAAAACAUCAUCUGGUUGAGAUGGACGUACGCAGCAAUAAGAGACGCAGAACAGAGCGGUCCGUACGUUCUCUUGGAUCCAUUUGUCAUUUACUUCUCUUGUUAAAAACAACGAUACGAAGACAUUUCAGUUUUGGGGCAAAGGCAAUCCGAAGAAGGAGUUAUCAACUCUCCUCUCUCUCUUUCAUGGUCUUCUUACUUUUUGAAAGUUGGAGCAUGCAAUCAUGCAUUAGAUAGAAGUUCUUGUUUUUGUAACAAAAGUUUGAAUGGACCGAACUUAUUAAUCAACCGUGUUCCAUUCGAUUGGGUGUUUCUUCCAAGUGUUGGACAAGUUCUGUAUGCUCACAUUGACUCUAACAAUGGUUUUUGUUUGCUUGAGAUAUCUUA